ACACUCAUAUUUCUCUUCAGAUCGUAUAAAUCUUUCGCCUUUUUCUAAAGAUUUCUGUGGAGAGGAAUAAUAUGAGUUUUCAUUAAUUUUUUGGUGCCCUGGCUGGUGUGGGGCU